GUGUAGAUUACCGUAGACUAAACGCUGUAACUCAAUUUGAUCCAGAGCCUAAUGCGCAGAUAGAGGAAAUCAUUGACAGAUUGGGAGAAGCUAAGUAUCUUAUAAAGACUGGAACAGUCAUGUGGGUCAUGUAAAAGCAGUUCUUACAUCUAUUCAGAACGCAGGUCUUACAGCAAAUCCAAAGAAAUGUGAGUUUGCGGCUAGAGAAUUGGAAUUUCUAGGUCAUUUAGUCGGAAAUGGUCAGGUAAAACCAACCUCAGACAAAGUACAGGCUAUUUUGAAUAUCCCUGUUCCCACGAAGAAAAAGGAGACAGACGCAAGUGACAGAGGUCUGGGGGCGUUGUUAUUGCAGAAAAAAAAUGUGCGUAAGGGUGUUUGAUACAAUUACCUGAAAUACAGACUGGUGUGCUAGACGGAAAUUUUCCUAUGGAAGGUCGUGGGGACAAUUGACGAAGUUCGGGGACGCAUUCUAUGCUGAGUGGGGCGUGGCUUUCUAUCCGGGCAGUGUCGUAGACUGGAAGCGAGAGACCUGCGAGUCCGGGGCUUUCGGUUAGGAUAGCGACAAGAGGGACAGGAAAUUUGACGAGGGCAGGAGCGUCUCGAGUGCAUAGUGACCUUGAGUUCAUUUUCAGAGAGGUUUUAAGUGUUAAAAAGCGACUGUUAUUACAGGCUAAUUUUCAUAUACAUGCUUUUGAGCUGAAAUUUGAAGUAAUUGUAAAUUCACGGUAUUUUGAAUUAUUGAACUUUAAUAUUUUUUUGAGUAAAUUUUUCAACAAGAGUUUUAUUGGUUGAAAUAGCUUAUAAACAACAUUUUGUAGUUUACUUCCAUUUUAUAUCUGAUACAGUGUGAUUUAAUCUUGAAUUUAGUUGAUAGUAUCAGAUAUUUGUUCAUUUGUUUAAUUGAAUUAUUAUUCUUUUUUUUGUUAUGUUCGAAUGAGAGUGGUGUGAAAGGGGGAGUGAGAAUAAUGAUUUGUUUUGUUUAUUAAUUUUUUUUUCAAAUUAAACUUGUUUAUUU
rnacentral:sRNA from 1 species